AACACAGCAAGAUGAAUUCGUUGCCGCUAGUACUGCUCCUGGUGUAUUGCUCCACGUUACAUUUUUCCCACAGUAGAGAGUACCAAGAUUCACUUAACGCAAUUCCCAAGGAAGGAACUCAAAAACGACGUCCAUCUGUUAAAUUGCCAUGUCCGACGACAUUUUGCUUUAAAGACAGAUCCUGUGUGGAUUUAUGUGACGAUAAAUUUUCUGCUGGGUCAACUACGUCAAAAGUGGUUCAGAAUGGACAAACUUACAAAUUAUUUUGGGUAAAGUGUCCACAUAUUGUGUGUUUCCCAAAUGGAAAAUGCUUAGACUUUUGCGAUAUUGGAAUACUUCCAUAAUGAUGUUUAUGUAGACACCACUAACUUGGAAGAUUAAAAAUGAUUCAAAAAUGUA